GAUGAACGCUAGCGGCAGGCCUAAUACAUGCAAGUCGAACGGUGUCUUCGGACAUAGUGGCGCACGGGUGCGUAACACGUAUGCAACCUACCUUACAUUGGGGGAUAGCCUUUCGAAAGGGAGAUUAAUACCGCAUAAGACAGUAGCUGGGCAUCCAGCAGCUGUUAAAGAUUUAUCGAUGUAAGCUGGGCAUGCGUCCAAUUAGCUAGUUGGUGAGGUAACGGCUCACCAAGGCAAUGAUUGGUAAGGGAACUGAGAGGUCGAUCCCCCACACUGGCACUGAGAUAAGGGCCAGACUCCUACGGGAGGCAGCAGUAGGGAAUAUUGGGCAAUGGACGCAAGUCUGACCCAGCCAUGCCGCGUGCAGGAUGAAGGCGUUAUGCGUUGUAAACUGCUUUUAUACAGGAAGAAACGACUCUUGCGAGAGGCAUUGACGGUACUGUAUGAAUAAGCACCGGCUAACUCCGUGCCAGCCGCCGCGGUAACAC
rnacentral:rRNA from 1 species